CUAACAGGAAAGAAAUACAAGAAGUUGAAGCCAGAAAGACCAUGAGAAAAUUUGAAACAGGGGGCUUCUGAGGCCCAGGUCCCCUAGGAGCACGGGCUGGAUAGCUUGUUUUGAGGAUAAAGUCAAAAUCCUGGCAAUUGAGGUCCUGCAGAAACUAAUAAAGGAGCACCUUCUCAGUACCGUAGUUCCUAACUAUUGAUGACGGGGUUCUUGUUCACGAAGCCGAAGAAUGAGCUUCACAAACACUCAAGAUAAACAGCAGCAGGACAAAACUUUAAGAAAGAGGCCUGGGAGGAAAUCCUAUCUAGUAGCUGUUUCCUGAGAAUUGCAGAAGUUACCAUUAUUAAAAUCUAGCAGCACACCCUUUUAUAUUGGUCACUAAAAAGCAGUGUUGUCUGGAUUUUCUGUUUGACAAAUGCUGGCCAGCUUUCAAGUUUGGGAUCCAAGAAUAGCACAAACAUAAGGGUCAAAAACUGUAACUGCGGGAUUCUAUAAAUUAAAUUUGUGAAUUGGACUAGCUGUGCAAAGUGCUAUGCCUGAAAAGAAUUAAGAUUGAAGCUUUUAUUUUUAAUUAAGCACUCUGUUUAAACGCCUGCAGGGAUGAUUCAACUUUCAGAUCACAUUUUUGUAACCCCUAGUUCAAAUUAAGGAAGUAAUGCUUACUGUCUAUAAACUCUGCUCUUCAUCUCUAAUACCAUCUUCCCACUCCCUCAAAACAGCCUUUCUGAUGAGAAUUUUCUCAGCCACACCAGUAUAGUCACUGGCGAGCAAGGGUUUGCUCACACAUUUUGUCUUUCCUCAGAGCUUAGGUGAGUAGGUCCAGUACAGGUAUUGGUACUUACUAUUAUUCAUUUGAUUUGCAUUUGAAAGAGGACCUCUCCACCUGCCUACAACCUCUGCAGAUUGCAUGCAACGAUAAUGGUGAAUUGUGGCUUUAGUGUUUAACCCCCAGGGUUUUCAUCGUCAACUUAAUUAUUAUUUGCAAUAAUAAUUUCACUUGGCAAACGGUGUAAUUCUACAAAUCCCUUUUGGAGCUUAGAGAGAAAUGUUCCACUUGAGAUAAAU